CUGGGCAACAGAGCAAAAACUCCAUCUCAAAACAAACAAAAUAACAACAACAACAACAACAACAAAAACACGAAGAAGUCAUGAACAGUGGAUGUCUUUGAGCCAUUCAUUCCCUACUCUGAGUCACAACCUCAUAGCUGAUUAAGGCCACAUGGGAAGCUUCCCAUUCCUCACACUUUCCCUGAUGCUCUCGGGAAGGACAAUUUCAGGCUGAACCAAAUCUGGAUUAUUAAAGUCAAUUUUCAAA